GAUGAACGCUGGCGGCGUGCCUAAUACAUGCAAGUCGAGCGAACAGACGAGGAGCUUGCUCCUCUGACGUUAGCGGCGGACGGGUGAGUAACACGUGGAUAACCUACCUAUAAGACUGGGAUAACUUCGGGAAACCGGAGCUAAUACCGGAUAAUAUAUUGAACCGCAUGGUUCAAUAGUGAAAGACGGUUUUGCUGUCACUUAUAGAUGGAUCCGCGCCGCAUUAGCUAGUUGGUAAGGUAACGGCUUACCAAGGCAACGAUGCGUAGCCGACCUGAGAGGGUGAUCGGCCACACUGGAACUGAGACACGGUCCAGACUCCUACGGGAGGCAGCAGUAGGGAAUCUUCCGCAACGGGCGAAAGCCUGACGGAGCAACGCCGCGUGAGUGAUGAAGGUCUUCGGAUCGUAAAACUCUGUUAUUAGGGAAGAACAAAUGUGUAAGUAACUAUGCACGUCUUGACGGUACCUAAUCAGAAAGCCACGGCUAACUACGUG
rnacentral:rRNA from 1 species